CAAGAGUCAGAUGCUCAACCGCUUCAAUUUUUGGAAAGAUUUGGUUCAUCCAAUCUCCGAGGGUUGCUAUGAGGCUUGCAGCCAAUGGGACUCGCAAAAAGUCUACUACGUGCAUCAGAUCCUCUCCGAACCCCAGCCAGGGCUAACUAGGAAUACGCCUGUGCUUCAUUCAGCUUUUCCCCAGGGAGCUUAACUCAAGUCUAUAUCCAGAAACAAGAUGGCAUUACCCUGGGUUCAAGUUCCAGCCAUACCAGGAUUACCCAUUUGCUGGCUGGAUGACAAAGCCCUUCCUCAGCCAGGCCCUUGAGGAGAUUGAAUAAGGACAUGGAGCACCAGGUUUGGCCUCAGGCACCUAAUGCCUGUUUGACAAAUGCCUGUUUCUAGUAUUUUCACCUAGUGAGCCUCCCAGUUAAGGACCUAGAUCUCUGUCAUCAUCACCUGACUUAACUGGAUGCCUUUGACUUGCGGGUUUUUUGUUAUGGAGUUUUCCAUUUCUUCA